GUAAAGGUUUCGACGGGGGUUAUGAAGCUGGAGAAGCUAUCCGCAGGUUGAUGCGUCAAAUCACAAAUUAAAAUUAAACGCUGAAGAUAAUUUAGCAUACGCUGCCUAAUGGCAGCUGUCUGACACAGAGCACCUGCACUUUGUGACCCAGGCAUCGAUGAUGCAGGAAACGACAUAUGUUAAGCUUUGCGCAUAUGGGCGUAUCAUGAAGCUACUGAAAGCAGAAGGCUGUCUGUUGUCGCCUGCCGGAGGGAAUGUCAAAUAACCGACUAUGAUAGUAGAAGGACAGUGGACUGGCUUUCGGACACGGGUUCGACUCCCGUCUAGUCC
rnacentral:tmRNA from 1 species